AGGGCUAUAGCUCAGUUGGUAGAGCACCUCGUUUACACAAUCAGUUUGAUCUGUUUUACC
rnacentral:tRNA from 3 species